rnacentral:sRNA from 1 species
GCUGGGCAUGGUGGUGCACGCCUAUAAUCCCAGCUUCAGGAGGCUGAGACAGGAGGAUCUCAAGUUCUAAAGCCAAUCCCAGCAAAAGCAAGGUGCUAAGCAACUCAGUGAGACUGUGUCUCUA